UACGUAGGGCGCAAGCGUUGUCCGGAAUUAUUGGGCGUAAAGGGCUCGUAGGCGGUCCGUCACGUCGGGAGUGAAAACUUGGGGCUUAACCCCCAAGCCUGCUUCCGAUACGGGCGGACUAGAGGUAGGCAGGGGAGAACGGAAUUCCUGGUGUAGCGGUGAAAUGCGCAGAUAUCAGGAGGAACACCGGUGGCGAAGGCGGUUCUCUGGGCCUUACCUGACGCUGAGGAGCGAAAGCGUGGGGAGCAAACAGG
rnacentral:rRNA from 1 species